UUGGUUAAGUUAGAAAGGGCGCACGGUGGAUGCCUUGGCACUAGGAGCCGAAGAAGGACGGGACUAACACCGAUAUGCUUUGGGGAGCUGUACGUAAGCGUUGAUCCAGAGAUUUCCGAAUGGGGGAACCCACUAUCUUUAGUCGGAUAGUAUCCUUACGUGAAUACAUAGCGUGAGGAAGGCAGACCCAGGGAACUGAAACAUCUAAGUACCUGGAGGAAGAGAAAGAAAAAUCGAUUUCCUGAGUAGCGGCGAGCGAAACGGAAAGAGCCCAAACCAAGAAGCUUGCUUCUUGGGGUUGUAGGACACUCUAUACGGAGUUACAAAAGAAAGUUAUAAAUGAAGCGGUCUGGAAAGGCCCGCCAAAGACGGUAACAGCCCGGUAGUUGAAAUGGCUUUCCCUCCAGAGUGGAUCCUGAGUACGGCGGAACACGUGAAAUUCCGUCGGAAUCCGGGAGGACCAUCUCCCAAGGCUAAAUACUCCCUAGUGACCGAUAGUGAACCAGUACCGUGAGGGAAAGGUGAAAAGCACCCCGGAAGGGGAGUGAAACAGUUCCUGAAACCGUGUGCCUACAAGUAGUUAGAGCCCGUUAAUGGGUGAUAGCGUGCCUUUUGUAGAAUGAACCGGCGAGUUACGAUUUGUUGCAAGGUUAAGCGGAAAAAGCGGAGCCGUAGCGAAAGCGAGUCUGAAUAGGGCGCAUAAGUAACAGGUCGUAGACCCGAAACCAGGUGAUCUACCCAUGUCCAGGAUGAAGGUAAGGUAAUACUUACUGGAGGUCCGAACCCACGCACGUUGAAAAGUGCGGGGAUGAGGUGUGGGUAGCGGAGAAAUUCCAAUCGAACUUGGAGAUAGCUGGUUCUCUCCGAAAUAGCUUUAGGGCUAGCCUCGAGGUAAAGAGUCAUGGAGGUAGAGCACUGUUUGGACUAGGGGCCCUUCUCGGGUUACCGAAUUCAGAUAAACUCCGAAUGCCAUGUACUUAUACUCGGGAGUCAGACUGCGAGUGAUAAGAUCCGUAGUCGAAAGGGAAACAGCCCAGACCACCAGUUAAGGUCCCCAAAUAUAUGU
rnacentral:rRNA from 1 species